UACGGGGGGGGCAAGCGUUGUUCGGAAUUACUGGGCGUAAAGGGCUCGUAGGCGGCCAACUAAGUCGGAUGUGAAAUCCCCAGGCUUAACUUGGGAACUGCAUCCGAUACUGGAUGGCUUGAAUCCGGGAGAGGGAUGCGGAAUUCCAGGUGUAGCGGUGAAAUGCGUAGAUAUCUGGAGGAACACCGGUGGCGAAGGCGGCAUCCUGGACCGACAUUGACGCUGAGGAGCGAAAGCUAGGGGAGCAAACGGG
rnacentral:rRNA from 1 species